GAUGAACGCUGGCGGCGUGCCUAAUACAUGCAAGUCGAACGAACAGACGAUGAGCUUGCUCCUCUGACGUUAGCGGCGGACGUGUGAGUAACACGUGGAUAACCUCCCUAUAAGACUGGGAUCACUUCGGGACACCGGCGCUAAUACCGGAUAAUAUAUUGAACCGCAUGGUUCAUUAGUGAAUGACGGUUUUGCUGUCACUUAUAGAUGGAUCCGCGCCGCUUUAGGUAGUUGGUAAGGUAACGGCUUACCAAGGCGACGAUGCGUAGCCGACCUGUGAGGGUGAUCGCCGGCACUGGAGCUGAGCCGCGGACAAGGGGCCUAAGGUAGGCAGCAGUAGGGAAUGGUACGCAGUAGGCGAAAGCCUGACGGAGCAACGGCGCGUGAGAGAUGAAGGCCUUCGGAGCGGAAUACUCGCUUAUUAGGGAAGAACAAAUGUGUAAGGUAACAUGCACGUAGUGACGGUACUGAGUCAGAAAGCCACGGCUAACUACGUG
rnacentral:rRNA from 1 species